AGCGAACGCUGGCGGCAGGCCUAACACAUGCAAGUCGAACGAACUCUUCGGAGCUAGUGGCGGACGGGUGAGUAACACGUGGGAACGUGCCUUUAGGUUCGGAAUAACUCAGGGAAACUUGUGCUAAUACCGAAUGUGCCCUUCGGGGGAAAGAUUUAUCGCCUUUAGAGCGGCCCGCGUCUGAUUAGCUAGUUGGUGAGGUAAAGGCUCACCAAGGCGACGAUCAGUAGCUGGUCUGAGAGGAUGAUCAGCCACAUUGGGACUGAGACACGGCCCAAACUCCUACGGGAGGCAGCAGUGGGGAAUCUUGCGCAAUGGGCGAAAGCCUGACGCAGCCAUGCCGCGUGAAUGAUGAAGGUCUUAGGAUUGUAAAAUUCUUUCACCGGGGACGAUAAUGACGGUACCCGGAGAAGAAGCCCCGGCUAACUUCGUG
rnacentral:rRNA from 1 species